AUUGAACGCUGGCGGCAGGCCUAACCCAUGCAAGUCGCACGAGUGGCGGACGGGUGAGUAAUGUCUGGGAACCUGCCCGAUGGAGGGGGAUAACUACUGGAAACGGUCGCUAAUACCGCAUACCAUCGGAUUUGCCCAGAUGGGAUUGGCUUGUAGGUUGGGUAAUGGCUCACCUAGGCUACGAUCCCUAGCUGGUCUGAGAGGAUUACCAGCCACACUGGAAAUGAGACACGGGCCAGACUCCUACGGGAGGCAGCAGGGGGGAAUAUGGCACAAUGGGCGCAAGCCUGAUGCAGCCAUGCCGCGUGUAUGAAGAGGGCCUUCGGGUUGUAAGGUACUUUCAGCGAGGAGGCGGUACUCGCAGAAGAAGCACCGGCUAACGCCGUGCCAGCAGCCGCGGUAAUUC
rnacentral:rRNA from 1 species